rnacentral:rRNA from 1 species
CCCUUAGAUGUUCUGGGCCGCACGCGCGCUACACUGACGAAGUCAGCGAGCAUGUCCUACGCCGACAGGUGCGGGGAAUCUUGUCAAACUUCGUCGUGAUGGGGAUUGAUUUUUGAAAUUCUUGAUCAUAAACGAGGAAUUCCUAGUAAGCGCAAGUCAGCAGCUUGCGUUGAUUACGUCCCUGCCCUUUGUACACACCGCCCGUCGCUACUACCGAUUGAAUGGUUUAGUGAGAUCUUCGGAUUGGCGCCACUGUAGCUCAGCAAUGGGCUUGGUGGAUGCCGAAAAGUUGAUCAAACUUGAUCAUUUAGAGGAAGUAAAAGUCGUAACA